UACGGGGGGGGCAAGCGUUGUUCGGAAUUACUGGGCGUAAAGGCUCGUAGGCGGCCAACUAAGUCAGACGUGAAAUCCCCAGGCUCAACCUGGGAACUGCGUCUGAUACUGGAUGGCUUGAAUUCGGGAGAGGGAUGCAGAAUUCCAGGUGUAGCGGUGAAAUGCGUAGAUAUCUGGAGGAAUACCGGUGGCGAAGGCGGCAUCCUGGACCGACAUUGACGCUGAUGAGCGAAAGCUAGGGGAGCAAACGGG
rnacentral:rRNA from 1 species